rnacentral:misc_RNA from 1 species
GUUCCCACAUUGACAUGAGGUUUACUGUAAAGUGUAAACGCAAAAGGGUCAUUGCAAAGAAUCUAUUUGACGUCACCGUGUUAAAAAGGAAAUGCUACCAUCCCUUUCCUUCAUUAUUCCCCCCAUGAAAGGUAGUUUAUCAAUCAAAAUUAAAGCUCAUUCACAGCGAUAUCAGACAUUCUGAAAAAUAAACCCAGUCACAAACUGAGAAUCAACCAAAUAACUAAA